AUAUACUUUGCAACUAGCCGUAUCACUAAUUUUUUUUAUUAAUUAAUUAAAAAAUUAUAAUAAUAUUAAUUAAAACAUUUUAACCCCUAGUAUGGGCGACAAAAAAGGAAAGAAGAGCAAUAGAUGAAGUACCGUGAGGGAACGAUGAAAGAGAAGUGAAAUAAAUCAUUUAAGUUUUGAAUAGCAGAGUUUAUAUCUCGUACCUUUUGCAUCAUGAUUUAGCGAGUACUAACAAGCAAAGAGACCUUUAGUUUGUGUCCCCGAAACUGAGCGAGCUACUUCAAGACAGCCUAUAAGGGCGAACCCGUCUCUGUGGCAAAAGAGUGGGAAGAUCUUUAAGUAGAGGUGACAGAUCUAUCGAGCGCAGUAAUAGCUGGUUACCUGAUAAAUGAAUAGGAGUUCAGCCCUUUAAGUUUCCUGUUUCAUUUUGCGUGUUGCUAGAAAAGAACAAGGAAAAUAAAGGAGUUAGUCAAAAGGGGAACAGCUCUUUUGACGAAAGAAACAACUUUAGUAGGUGCUUUAAGAUCAUA
rnacentral:rRNA from 1 species